GACGAACGCUGGCGGCGUGCCUAAUACAUGCAAGUAGAACGCACAGUUUAUACCGUAGCUUGCUACACCAUAGACUGUGAGUUGCGAACGGGUGAGUAACGCGUAGGUAACCUGCCUGGUAGCGGGGGAUAACUAUUGGAAACGAUAGCUAAUACCGCAUAAUAUUGAUUAUUGCAUGAUAAUUGAUUGAAAGAUGCUAUUGCAUCACUACCAGAUGGACCUGCGUUGUAUUAGCUAGUAGGUGAGGUAACGGCUCACCUAGGCGACGAUACAUAGCCGACCUGGGAGGGUGAUCGGCCACACUGGGACUGAGACACGGCCCAGACUCCUACGGGAGGCAGCAGUAGGGAAUCUUCGGCAAUGGACGAAAGUCUGACCGAGCAACGCCGCGUGAGGGAAGAAGGUUUUCGGAUCGUAAAGCUCUGUUGUAAGGGAAGAACGGGUGUGAGAGUGGAAAGUUCACACUGUGACGGUAUCUUACCAGAAAGGGACGGCUAACUACGUG
rnacentral:rRNA from 1 species